rnacentral:lncRNA from 1 species
CAAAAGUUCAUUCAGUGCUACAUCUAUAUGCAGUGUUUAGGGCCAUUAACUGGAGUAUGGGUAGGCUUUAGAGACCCACAUUCCUAAGGUUAGGAUUUUUUUAGUUCUUUUCGAUCCAUGCUUGGAUUUUGACUAUCUUCAUUUUCUGUCUAUCUUGACAAUGCAUUUGAAGUCACAGUAAGUCUACUUGUGUAACUGUAUGGUCAUGUCCACUACCUCUGACUCUUACAACACUUACUUUCCCUCUUCAUUGAUGAUUCCUGAGUCUUGGUGGAAGAGGUUGUGAUAUAAAUGUCCCGUUUAGGAUGGAGGACUCUAUAAUCUCUAAUUUUCAGCACAUUGACUGGUUGUGAGUCUCUGUAUUAAUCACCAUCUACUGCAUUAAAAGAGUCUCUCUGUUGACGGUUGAGUGAUGCACUAAUCUAUGGGAUUAGAGAUAAGUGUGUAGAGGGCAUUUUAUUACUGUGUCGAUUCAGCAGAAUAAUACUACUGAAUUCCUUACAAUGGCAUAUGACAUACCUAGACAAUUAUUUCAGAAGCAGUUAAUUGGACCAGCCAUGAGUUCCUUUUUGUGUAACAGGUCUUAUAUUCAACUGAAAAAAAAGUAGUUCAUUGGUCCUAUAAUGUACAUGGCAUUACUACACAAUUAUGUGAACAUAUUCACUAUACCUAGGAAAUAGAAACAAAUUAGAUGCCCAUAAAUGAAUAGACCAUAAAGAUUUAGUUGAUAUACAUAAUAGAAUAUUAAUCAGCUAUUAUGAACUUCUCAAAAAAACAUAAUAAUAAUCCAGGAUGAGAUGAUCCAUAGCCAGAAGGAUAAUGAUACAAGUCACUAUUGUAUGUGAAUAUUAGCUUUAAUGUUAAGAUACAUGUGUUGAAAUUGGAGUAGCCCUAGAAGACUGGAAACUAGUAAGGGGAAUGUGGGUAAGAUUUCAAGAAAAGGGGGAUGGAAGGCAGGAAGUAUGAAGGGCAAAAUGGGAAUAAUAGGACAGGAAGGGUAAAGUGGAUGGAGAUGGAAGGGUGGGCUCGAGGGAGACUAUGAGGAAAGAUAACAAAUACUUUACCUUAGCCAAACAAGAGGUUUGGGCCAUUAAAGAGUACCAGGAAUGGGUUUCAUCUCACAGAGGGUGCUUUAUAUCCAAUCAAAGUUGGUUGGAAGGAACUUGAGACCAUGCAGCUUCACAGAGACUGACCUGCCAAUCAGGGAGCUUGCGCAGGACUGACUGACCCUUUCACAUAUGAUACAGCUGUGUAGCUUGAUCUUCUUGACAGACUCUUAACAAUGUAAACAGGAGCUGUCUCUGAGUCUCUUGCCUGCCUUUAGGGUGCUAUUCCUCUAUUGCAUUGCCUUGUCUAGCUUUAAUGGAAGAGCAUAUACAUGUGCUUCAAAUACCAUAUGUUUGAAUAUAUUGAAAGUUAAAGGAGAACAUCUUUUUUGGAUAGGAUUGCUAUCUUUGAAACUGUCACAGAUAGUGUUUUUGUAGUGAAGCAUUUUUGCGUAUUCCAGGGAUUUAUUUUCAUAUAUUUGAUGUACUAUUUCUAAAACUAUUUAUUAUUAUUACUAGUAUUAUUAUUUGCCUCAGAUGAGGCAGAGGGUGGGAGCAAUUACUGAUUCAUUAACAUGCUAGUUCCAAAUGUAAUUCAGCUUUGUUUGUGAUUUAUCAAUCAUUCUUCUACCUCAUUAAAAUUUUUUGAACAGCAUAUUGUUUAGCUUAAUGAAUUAAUUACUUACUAUAUUUUAUUCAACAAAUUGUCAAAAUGUUGCUUAAAUGUGGAUUUCUUCUACCUGUGUUGUUUCUGGCUGAAACUUUGAGUGAUCUUUUGUGAACAUGAUCUACAGAAGCUGUGUACCUUUUAUAAUAUAUCAAUUUGAGAAUCACUUCACACUGCCAUUUCAUUUUGGAAACACUGAAUUAACUUAAUUAACCUUGUUUAGUAGAGCUCUAACUUUUUAUUUUGUACAUUUUAAUUUAGCAAAUGGGCAGAUAGGCUUUCUCUCAACUAAGUCCAAAACAUUUUCUGUUAUUCUCUGAUUAAAUUCAUUAGAGACAUGCAAAAAUGGUCAUUAUCAGUUCUGCAAUUCCAAAAGCUGUCCUAGUUGUUGUUAACCUAAUAUAGUAACACAGCACAAGUGCUGAGUUUUGAAAGAGAGCAAGUGACACUGUGCUAUUGGAACUUUUAUAGAAUAAUGAUAGAAACAUAUCAAGCCAUAUAUUCGAACAUGAUAUCUCAACAUUUAACAAGAUAGAAAUUACAAAAUUGAUAUAUGAAUAUUUGAUUUAAUAUUGACUUCUCUAAAGACAAAUUAAAGAUGAUAGCACAUGGGUGAUUUCCAUUAAAUGUAGUUAAAUGUGUUUCUUCCAAUUAUUUAAAGACACACUCUCACUCUGUAGCUCAGGAUAGCAUGAAAUGUAAUACGUAGCUCAGGCUGACUUCUAACCUGAGAUGAUUAGUCUUUCCGAGUCUCCAGUGUACUAGUGUUACAGAAUGUGCCACCACA